CAAGGACCAGGAGCGGGAGCCGAGCCUCGCGGCCCGGGGCACGGCGCCGCCUGCCCCUCCCCGGCAGUGCCUCCCGACCCCCUGCCCUCCGCUGGGACAUGGCCUGAGGCCCCGCCCGCCGCCCGGGACCCCUCCCCCACGCUGCCCCCGGACCCUCGCCCCAGGACCGCGGGGUCUCUUCCCGGCCCCGCCGCCCGCCCCGGCGAGAACAGGCCCGGCGGGCAAGGCGGCGGCGGACCGAGGGAGGCCUGGCCCGGCAGCGGGGAGAAGGGUGCGGCGCAGCCCGAGUUUCCCACCUUUUAUCCUGGCCCAGACGCGGCUGGGGCGGACGGGACCUCUCGCGCUCUGCCUCCUCCUCUUGCUUCAUGGAGCCAUGCGCCUGGGUGGGGGCUCCCGAGAGAAGCUGGCCUGCGGGCGGGCCGGACGCGCUGCGCGGACGGGACGGGGCGAAGGAGGCCGGCAGGCGGAGGAGGAAGCGGCGGGGCGGCGGCGGCGGCGGCGGCCGGGAAGAACUAGAGGUAUUCCCCGGGCGGCUGGAGGACUGAGUCGAGCCGGGACCCGAGUCCUCCGGUAUCCCAGCAGCCACCGGAGGCAGUGAGGUAAUGGAGGAAGAAUGUAGGGAGUCCUCCGGUGGACCACACUCCUUCUAGCGAGCCGCGGAAACCAUAGAGAUCAGGGCUCAGCCGGAGGGCCGGCCCACUGCUGUCACGUGGCCUCCAUCCGUGCGCUUUAUUGGCUGGUGCUGGCUUUACGGGGUUGAAUUUUGGACGCUGCCUGCCAUUCGUGGGACCGAGUUUCAGGCAGCUGGAAUAAAGAGAGAUAUCGGGGGAAAGCCGCGAGAAGGCCAGCGUCCCUCGCUGGGAGCAGAGCUAGCCGAGUAGGGCGCCCGGCUGUCAAACUGGCCGGCGCAGUGCACGCUGGGCCGCCCCGGAGCGAUCGCAGAGCCCGUCGGGAGUCGUAGUCCCGGACGGGCCCGCGGCAUCGUCCGCGACGCAGCUCGGGAUCCGGGUCGGGGUGUCGGCCGGGUUGCUGCCGGGCACCGUCGAGCGUUAGCCACCCAGCAUUGAGCUGCCAGCGGCUGUUCUCCCUAAGCACCCUCGCUCACGUCGCCUCGCCUCGCCUGACCGGCCGCAGCCUUGGAUACCAGCCUUAAAUCGAGCCGACUACGGCCCAGCCCCGCCCGCGGCGAGGUGCGCGGGGUUCGGUGCGAGCCCCUCGCCCCUGGCCGGGCCAGCCUCUUGAUGCACCGGGGACGGGCGCGCCCAUCCGACUCUUCGAGGGGCGGCAGGGCCCCAUCUGUGUCUUUCGCUCUCGAGCCCCCAGCUAGAGUUGGCUUCAGCGGAAUACCUACUGUGCGGGAUUAUUCAACAAGCCGAUUGAUCACAUUCUUCAGCUCUAGCAGUGCAAAGGCUUCACUGAAAAAGAACAUUACAACUUUUUUGAAAGAAAUUUGGGGGUAAAUUUAAUUUUAAAUACUGAUUUUUGAUAACAUUUGAUCUUAUGACAGCAUUUGUAUUUUUAAUUACAGAUAGGAUUACACUAAAAGUCAUUUCUGACCUGCUCCCUUACCCUUAUGGCUAAAAUAAACUGCUAGGCCCUGAAGCAAAGGCGAGCCAUGUUCUAGAGCAAUGUCUUUCUUGUAUUAAAAUACAGCCCCAUGCUCACAAAAAAAAAAAAAAAAAAUUUUGGAGUGUAAACAUAAAAAAAAAAAA
rnacentral:lncRNA from 1 species